rnacentral:rRNA from 1 species
CUACGCAUGUACCGUUAUGACAUGAUGACAACCCCGGGCGACACUCGGCGCUGUCGUCACACCAAGCGUACUGCUCUUGACGUCAUUGCUCAACCCAGCGCGCUGCGGAUGCUACGAGCCGGCUACGAUCUGGUCU